GCCAGGUGUGGUAGUGCAUGCCUGUAGUCCCAGCUACUUGGGAGGCUGAGGCAGGAGAAUCACUUGAGCUCAGGAGGUCGAGGCUGCAGUGAGCUGAGGUGGUACCACCGCACUCCAGCCUCAGCGAAAGAGUGAGACCCUGUCUCAA
rnacentral:SRP_RNA from 1 species